AAGGAAUAUUGGUCAAUGGGCGAGAGCCUGAACCAGCCAAGUCGCGUGCAGGAAGAAUGUCCUAUGGAUUGUAAACUGCUUUUGCAGGGGAAUAAAGUGAGCCACGUGUGGUUUUUUGUAUGUACUCUGCGAAUAAGGAUCGGCUAACUCCGUGCCAGCAGCCGCGGUAAUACGGAGGAUCCGAGCGUUAUCCGGAUUUAUUGGGUUUAAAGGGUGCGUAGGCGGGAUAAUAAGUCAGUGGUGAAAGUUUGCAGCUUAACUGUAAAAUUGCCGUUGAAACUGUUAUUCUUGAGAGUAGAUAAGGUAGGCGGAAUGUGUUGUGUAGCGGUGAAAUGCAUAGAUAUAACACAGAACCCCGAUUGCGAAGGCAGCUUACCGGGCUACAUCUGACGCUGAUGCACGAAAGCGUGGGGAUCAAAC
rnacentral:rRNA from 1 species